GAUCCAGUGGCAUAGUGGUUAGAGCAUCUGCAUCGGAUGCAUGAUGUCAUGGGUUCAAUCCCCAGCCGAGUCA